CAUUUUUAUUAGUUUAUAAAAUCAGUUAGGCAUGAACACUAGAUAUCCACUUAGGUACGAAUUGUUCCUUUUGGGUAUUUUUUUUUGUUUUAAAAUUACUCUCUCCUUGAAUAUUAUAAAUUUAUGUGUAAAUUUUGAGUUGGAUCGUUUUGAGUCUGAAUGAGUUCGGUUCUGAUGUAUAUGACCCUAAAAGUAUCUAAAUAACCAAUGUAUUUGAAACGGGUUUGGAUAUUUGUACCAAAAAUAACCAUAUUAUCCGAUUCGAUCCAGGUUUUGAAUACAAUUAGUUAUAUUACGACAUAUAUCUAAUUAUAUAAAAUAGGCUUUGUUUCACUCCCAGAUGGUACACGUAGGCGUCCACCUAGAUAAUUCAAUCAAUCUCAGCACACCACGUGUCCCUUCUGCUUGAACACAUCGUUUCAUUUAAAACGUUAGUUUAUAUAGGCUUUCUUAUUUCUCUGUCCGUUGGGCUUUACGUUUGCAACCCUUGCACUGGGCCGAUAUGACGCGGCUUGCUCUAACCGUAAAAUGGCGAUCGUCGAAUAUGCAUGUCUGUCCCUUCUUCUGCGCCGGCGACGAGUGACGAUUGAUCUGCUUAACCAUGUAUGAAACUGGCGAAGUUAUAGUUCGUCUUAAUUUCUCUUCAUUCAAUCGCCCACUCCGCAAUCUUGAAUGAGGCGUUCUUCACUCUGAGACGGUGUCAGAUCCGUAUAAAUAUAAUUUUCUUCUCGGACUUGAAGACCGGUGGUUGCUCAUCCGUCGUCGAGGCUAGACUGCUGCGUUUCUGGGAGGCGAGAAAUGUCAAGCGUAGUGGUGAGAUCAUGUGGGUCGAUGUGCUUCUGAUUGACGUGAAUGUUUCGGCGUCAGCGGCAGCGGCAGCGUCAGCGUCAGCGGCAGCGGCAGCGUCAAUGAGGACAGUUGUUGUUCGUUUCGCAGACGCUGACGCUGACGCAUACUAUAUCGCGACCGCAGAUUUUAUCGGCGUCAGCCGCAGGACGCGGCGUUCGGACGCGGCGUCAGACGCAGUUUUCUGCGUCAACGAAACGAACAAGAGUUGACGCAGAAUGUUGACGCUGCCGCUGCAGCCGGUACCUGCGGCAACCAAACGAACAGCCCUUAUGAUGCAAGCCACCAUCAAUGCUCAUCGGCUUUCAAAAUUCUGGGAGAGGCUCGCCGAUGGAUAAAUAUAUUCCCUCUCCAGUUUUGACGUGGCCCGAUAUGCUCAGAACUUCAGGCUUACCGACUCACCUCUGUUGAUUCGGUUAAAUGAUAAUACAGAAUUUGAUGAGAUAACCGAACCGGUCUCACCGUUGUCUAAAGAAGGCUUCCGGUUCCAUAACCAAGCCAAGCUGGUUGGAUUAGCUAACACCAACACACAGCUUCCAGACAUUGUAGGUGAGAUCACUGCUGUUAAGAGUACAGUGAGUGAACUUCCAGAGGAUAAGAAUUGUGUCAUGGCAACUAUCAAGAUGGAAAAGCUGUUGCGUUGCACAAAAACCUUGAAGACAUGCAUGUUGAUCCAAAGGUGAUUGUUGCCACAAACAUAAACCCGAAGAUGGUCAGAGGCCGUUUGUUCCUCAACGCAACGUCUGGGACGCAUAUAUAUUUUGAUAAGGAAACAAGUGCAGGGGAACCUUGCUUCUACAAGUAAGAUUAACCGUAAUUGAUUGUGUACGCGUACGUUGACGAAAUUAUGAUGAUGGCCAUCUUAAAUUAUCGUACAGGUUGGUGGCUAGGGACACUAGCCUACCAUUUGUUGCACCACUACUAAGGACAUAUGCAAAGGUUGAGAAUGUGACAAUGGCUGGGCUCAACAAUUUUAUCAUUAUAGCUUCGUCACAGGAAAUUGACUUUUUAUGCACUUGGCGAGACCCACGCGUUGACACUUACAAGGGAUGGUGUUAUGUUGCAUGCUCUAAGUGCAGUAGUAAUUAGUUGCAUCGUUCCAC